GAUGAACGCUGGCGGCGUGCCUAAUACAUACAAGUCGAGCGAACAGACGAGGAGCUUGCUACUCUGACGUUAGCGGCGGACGGGUGAGUAACACGUGGAUAACCUACCUAUAAGACUGGGAUAACUUCGGGAAACCGGAGCUAAUACCGGCUAACAUGUUGAACCUCAUGGUUCAACAGUGAAAGACGGUCUUGCUGUCACUUAUAGAUGGAUCAGCGCCGCGUUAGCUAGUUCGUAAGGUAACGGCUUACGAAGGAAACGAUGCGUAGCCGACAUAAGAGGGUGGUCGGCCACACUGGAACUGAGACACGGUCCAGACGCCUACGGGAGGCAGCAGUAGGGAAUCGUCCGCAAUGGUCGAAAGCCUGACAGAGCAACGCCGCGUGAGUGAAGAAGGUCUUCGGAUCGUAAAACUCUGUUAUUAGGUAAGAACAAAUGUGUAAGUAACUAUGCACGUCUUGACGGUACCUAAUCAGAAAGCCACGGCUAACUACGUGCCAGCCGCCGCAGUAA
rnacentral:rRNA from 1 species